CCUACGGGAGACUGCAGUGAGGAAUAUUGGUCAAUGGACGAGAGUCUGAACCAGCCAAGUCGCGUGAAGGAUGACUGCCCUAUGGGUUGUAAACUUCUUUUAUAUGGGAAUAAAACGUUCCACGUGUGGGAUUUUGUAUGUACCAUAUGAAUAAGGAUCGGCUAACUCCGUGCCAGCAGCCGCGGUAAUACGGAGGAUCCGAGCGUUAUCCGGAUUUAUUGGGUUUAAAGGGUGCGUAGGUGGAUUGUUAAGUCAGUUGUGAAAGUUUGCGGCUCAACCGUAAAAUUGCAGUUGAAACUGGCAGUCUUGAGUACAGUAGAGGUGGGCGGAAUUCGUGGUGUAGCGGUGAAAUGCUUAGAUAUCACGAAGAACUCCGAUUGCGAAGGCAGUUCACUGGACUGAAACUGACACUGAGGCUCGAAAGUGUGUGUAUCAAACAGGAUUAGAUACCCUGGUAGUC
rnacentral:rRNA from 1 species